GAUGAACGCUGGCGGCGUGCUUAACACAUGCAAGUCGAGCGAUGAAGUUUCCUUCGGGAAACGGAUUAGCGGCGGACGGGUGAGUAACACGUGGGUAACCUGCCUCAUAGAGUGGAAUAGCCUUCCGAAAGGAAGAUUAAUACCGCAUAACGUUGAAAGAUGGCAUCAUCAUUCAACCAAAGGAGCAAUCCGCUAUGAGAUGGACCCGCGGCGCAUUAGCUAGUUGGUGGGGUAACGGCCUACCAAGGCGACGAUGCGUAGCCGACCUGAGAGGGUGAUCGGCCACAUUGGGACUGAGACACGGCCCAGACUCCUACGGGAGGCAGCAGUGGGGAAUAUUGCACAAUGGGGGAAACCCUGAUGCAGCAACGCCGCGUGAGUGAUGAAGGUUUUCGGAUCGUAAAGCUCUGUCUUUGGGGAAGAUAAUGACGGUACCCAAGGGGGAAGCCACGGCUAACUACGUGCCAGCCGCCGCCGUAAGAC
rnacentral:rRNA from 1 species